CCGCCGCCGCCGCCACCGCCCGCGAUCCGGUCGCCGCCCGGCUUCAUGCCCGGCCCCUGCCUAGCCGCCCGCCGGGCCUCCGUAGACACUUCCUGUUUGUUUGAAGAAAAAAUCUUUAUUCGCGUCCGGCGUGGACAAGGACAGUGUCGUUCUCAAGAGAGGCCGCCGGAGGGCGCGAGAGGCCGCGCAGGGAAGAGGCUAGCUUCGCUGGCGCGCGGAGGUUGACUUCCUAGGGAGGAAUUGAGGGACCUGAUGGUCCGGUUUCGAUGGCAACUCCGGGGUUUCCCUUUCCUUUUAGCCGCCUCCGCGCCGCGCGAGACCCUAUCUGGAGGCGCACGUUCCUGGCCCCAUUAGGCCUCGUUCCCAGGCUGCGGGACUGCGGGCCCUCCGCCCACCUUCCUCCCCCACAGCCCGAGGGCGGCCCUCGGCGCCACACACGGCCCCGGCCCUGAGGGAGCUGGGGGCGCUGCCGAAGGAGAGCGCGCAGUCCUGCGGCUUCCUCACGCAGGGGUGUCGCAACCACUGCCGCUUCCUAACCGCCCCUGUUCUCCGGGAAUUGGGGACGCAGUCAGGAAAGGGUGGGAAGUGGUCGCGAAGCCCUCCCCACCCCCACACCCCGGCCGACUCCUGCUCUGCGGCGGCGGUGUCGAGGUCACGCUCCCGAAGCAGCCCACCCGGCCCGGCAGACGAGGGUUCUUUCAUUGGCUUACGAAAGGGAGAUUAGAAGACUUGCUUUCUCAAUCUUCCAACAGCUAAAGAUGCUGAAAAAUAUGACAUUGACCUUAGUAUCUGAGGAUUCUCUGACUCAGGUUCCAUCUUGCAAAGCUAGAAGUUGAUAACAGAGCUCAGGUCAUGAUCUCAGGAUUGUGAGAUCCAGUCCUGCGUGGAGCCUGCUUGGGAUUCUCUCUCUCCCUCUCCUUUGGUCCCUCCCCCAUCUCUUAAAAACAAACAAACAAACAAACGUAUGUAUGGUUUGAGUCUGUCUUUGCCAAAAUACUUGUCAAUCUCACACCUACCACAAUUUUUAAGUAUAAAAUUAUUUGCUGGAUUUUUUUAAUGUCUUUCUCCCUCACUAGACUAAAUUGUAACUUGAAGACAA